rnacentral:rRNA from 1 species
AUCAUGAGUUCACAUGUCCGCAUGAUUAAAGGUAUUUUCCGGUAGACGAUGGGGGUGCGUUCCAUUAGAUAGUAGGCGGGGUAACGGCCCACCUAGUCAACGAUGGAUAGGGGUUCUGAGAGGAAGGUCCCCCACAUUGGAACUGCGACACGGUCCAAACUCCUACGGGAGGCAGCAGUGAGGAAUAUUGGUCAAUGGGCGAUGGCCUGAACCAGCCAAGUAGCGUGAAGGAUGACUGCCCUAUGGGUUGUAAACUUCUUUUAUAAAGGAAUAAAGUCGGGUAUGCAUACCCGUUUGCAUGUACUUUAUGAAUAAGGAUCGGCUAACUCCGUGCCAGCAGCCGCGGUAAUACGGAGGAUCCGAGCGUUAUCCGGAUUUAUUGGGUUUAAAGGGAGCGUAGAUGGAUGUUUAAGUCAGUUGUGAAAGUUUGCGGCUCAACCGUAAAAUUGCAGUUGAUACUGGAUGUCUUGAGUGCAGUUGAGGCAGGCGGAAUUCGUGGUGUAGCGGUGAAAUGCUUAGAUAUCACGAAGAACUCCGAUUG